rnacentral:tRNA from 1 species
AGUUUAGAAGCGAAUGAUUGCGCUAAGUUUCGGCCUUAGAAUUGAGAAAUUUCUCCUAAGCUU